rnacentral:rRNA from 1 species
GACGAACGCUGGCGGCGUGCCUAAUACAUGCAAGUCGAACGCAGUUGGGACGGGUGAGUAACACGUGGGUAACCUCCCAUCAGAGGGGAUAACACUUGGAAACAGGUGCUAAACCGAUACUGAUGGAUGGACCCGCGGUGCAUUAGCUAGUUGGUGAGGUAACGGCUCACCAAGGCCACGAUGCAUAGCCGCCCUGUGAGGGUGUGCGGCCACACUGUGACGGAGGCACGGCCCAGAUUCCGACGUGAGGCAGCAGUAGGGAAUCUUCGGCAAUGGACGAAAGUCUGACCGAACAACGCCGCGUGAGUGAAGAAGGGUUUCGGGUCGUAAAACUCUGUUGUUAGAGAAGCGGUAUCUAACCAGAAAGCCCCGGCUAACUACGUGCCAGCAGCCGCGGUAAUAC